GGAAUAUUGGACAAUGGGCGCAAGCCUGAUCCAGCCAUGCCGCGUGUGUGAAGAAGGCCUUAGGGUUGUAAAGCACUGUCAGGGGGGAGAAAGGUUAUUCACCUAAUACGUGAGUAAAUUGAUGUUACCCACAGAAGAAGCACCGGCUAACUCCGUGCCAGCAGCCGCGGUAAUACGGAGGGUGCAAGCGUUAAUCGGAAUUACUGGGCGUAAAGCGCGCGUAGGCGGCUUUGUAAGUCGGAUGUGAAAGCCCUGGGCUUAACCUGGGAAUUGCAUUCGAUACUGCAUGGCUAGAGUAUGGUAGAGGGAAGUGGAAUUUCCGGUGUAGCGGUGAAAUGCGUAGAUAUCGGAAGGAACACCAGUGGCGAAGGCGACUUCCUGGGCCAAUACUGACGCUGAGGUGCGAAAGCGUGGGGAGCAAAC
rnacentral:rRNA from 1 species